rnacentral:piRNA from 1 species
AGAGGGCCGUCUGGGUAGCUGAUAUAUACA